GGUCAUCCUGUCUCAGAGGCAAUGCAAAUAAAUAGACAGAUGAUGAUUAAGGGAACAUCAGAUGCUUCAGACAAUGGAGAGGCCAAUACCAGUGGCUCUGAUGGCAGAGAGGAAGCUCAUGUUUCAUCAGUGAACAGCAGGUAACGAGAGAUGACUAGCCUCUUCUGACCAGCAGUCGGAUGAAAUUCUGGCAUUUCAGAAAUUUUGGUCACCCCUCAUGAGGGUAUCGCACAGUUGAAGCGGAGCUAUAAACCGACUGCCCUAAAAUUUAGUGUUUUUUUUUUUUCUUCACUGCACCUGCAUGAAAACAGAAAAGAAACCAAGACAGCAUGACAUGUAAUUUGGACAGAAGUGAUGGAGGCUACUCAGUUCCAUGUUCAGAGGGUCCCACAUGUUUAUUUCAACCAUGUAGUGUGAGCAUGUAAAUCCUAAGCUUUGGCUUGACUUUGCAUGCAAUUUACUUGUACAGUGAGUGUAGGUAUUUACCAAAAACAAUGCU